rnacentral:lncRNA from 1 species
UUCUUACUAAAAAAAGUGAUCUAUUCUAUAUACAACUAACUGCUCAAUAUACUACUAAAAAUAAAUUGAAAACAACUUUGAUUCUUCAUUUCAUGUUAAUGCCUCAAUUCUCAGAAAGAAGUACCAGUUGUGUACCUGCUAUUGGAAAAGCAAAGAAGAAGAGGAAGAUCAAUAGAAGCAGCAGUGGCACACACAACAACACAACAGAAAUCCCAGAAAAGAUUAAAACCAAGCAACAGAUCCAACAACCAAGCAGGAAACCAAACUUAAUGAAACAGUACUCAACUAGGAGCUUCAAAGAAAAGUUCACAGAACACUGAUUUUGUUGCUUAGAUUCAAUGGACAUAAACUGACUUUCUAAAAUUUAAAAGACCAACCUUAACACUCAAAAUUUCUAAGAAUAAAACUGACUUUUUCCAAUUCAAAGACCAGCCUAUAUUUUUUCUUUUAAACUCUCAAAACUGAAUUCUAAGUGUAAGAAUUUAAGCAUGUAUUUCUAUCUCAAGUUCUGAAAAUCUCCUAACACUGAACUUG